GACGAACGCUGGCGGCGUGCCUAAUACAUGCAAGUCGAACGCAGUGGGGACGGGUGAGGAACCCGUGGGUAACCUCCCAUAAGAGGGGAUAAGACUUGGAAACAGGUGCUCAACCGAUACUGAUGGAUGGUCCCGCGGUGCAUUACCUAGUUGGUGAGGUAACGGCUCACCAAGGCGACGAUGCAUAGCCGAGCUGAGAGGGUGACCAGCCACACUGGGACUGAGACACGGCCCAGAAUCCUACGGGAGGCAGCAGUAGGGAAUCUUGGGCAAUGGAGGAAAGCCUGACCGAGCAAUGCCGCGUGAGUGAAGAAGGCUUUCGGAUUGUAAAGCUCUGUUGGUAGAGAAGCGGUACCUAACCAGAAAGCACCGGCUAACUACGUGCCAGCAGCCGCGGUAAUUC
rnacentral:rRNA from 1 species